GUACUAGAGUAGCACUCGCAUAUCAAUAAGCGGAGGAAAAGAAACUAACAAGGAUUCCCCUAGUAACGGCGAGUGAAGCGGGAAGAGCUCAAAUUUGAAAUCUUAAAGGGUUUCCCUUUACGAAUUGUAGUUUAAAGAAGUGUUUUCUGUUGAGGUUUUGGUAAAAGUUCUUUGGAAUAGGACAUCAUAGAGGGUGAGAAUCCCGUAUUUGACCUUUACUUUCAACUUUGUGAUACACUUUCAAAGAGUCGGAUUGUUUGGGAAUGCAGUCCAAAAUGGGUGGUAAAUUUCAUCUAAAGCUAAAUAUUGGCGAGAGACCGAUAGCGAACAAGUACCGUGAGGGAAAGAUGAAAAGAACUUUGAAAAGAGAGUUAAACAGUACGUGAAAUUGUCAAAAGGGAAGCGUUUGACACCAGUGUUGUUUUUCUGAAAAUCAAUUAAAGAACUGUUUAUGCUAAGUUGUUUAGACUUUAUCAGCUAACUGUUUAGUUUUGAGCUUUUCUUUAAUGCACUUUUCAGUUAACAAGUCAACAUCAAUUUCUUUUGCUGUAAAAAAGCUUGAGGAAGGUGGCUUGAGAUUCGUCUUAAGUGUUUAUAGCCUCUUGCCUAUGCAGUCGGAGAGAUUGAGGUCUGCAGCGUAGAUCCUUCGGGGCUAAAUGCAUUUGUGCUAAGUUAUAGCAUUUUAUAGACAACUUGUUGACUAUGAUUUGUCUUGUAGCUUACUCGCUUAUGUUAUUUUACCUACGCUUAGGAUGUUGAGCGCAUGUCUCUCUCU
rnacentral:rRNA from 1 species